UCGACGGGCUCAUAUUGAACCUAGUGAUGUAUGAGUUAGUGGCGGACGGGUGAGUAACGCGUGGAGAACCUGCCGUAUACUGGGGGAUAACACUUAGAAAUAGGUGCUAAUACCGCAUAAGCGCACAGCUUCGCAUGAAGCAGUGUGAAAGACUCCGGUGGUAUACGAUGGAUCCGCGUCUGAUUAGCUGGUUGGCGGGGUAACAGCCCACCAAGGCGACGAUCAGUAGCCGGCCUGAGAGGGUGAACGGCCACAUUGGGACUGAGACACGGCCCAAACUCCUACGGGAGGCAGCAGUGGGGAAUAUUGCACAAUGGGGGAAACCCUGAUGCAGCGACGCCGCGUGAGUGAAGAAGUAUUUCGGUAUGUAAAGCUCUAUCAGCAGGGAAGAAAUACUGACCUUACGGUCAGCAGACGGUACCUGACUAAGAAGCCCCGGCUAACUACGUGCCAGCAGCCGCGGUAAUACGUAGGGGGCAAGCGUUAUCCGGAUUUACUGGGUGUAAAGGGAGCGUAGACGGCAGCGCAAGUCUGAAGUGAAAUCCCAUGGCUUAACCAUGGAACUGCUUUGGAAACUGUGCAGCUGGAGUGCAGGAGAGGUAAGCGGAAUUCCUAGUGUAGCGGUGAAAUGCGUAGAUAUUAGGAGGAACACCAGUGGCGAAGGCGGCUUACUGGACUGUAACUGACGUUGAGGCUCGAAAGCGUGGGGAGCAAACAGGAUUAGAUACCCUGGUAGUCCACGCCGUAAACGAUGAUUACUAGGUG
rnacentral:rRNA from 1 species